GCGUUUACCACGGUGUGGUUCAUGACUGGGGUGAAGUCGUAACAAGGUAGCCCUAGGGGAACCUGGGGCUGGAUCACCUCCUUACCUAAAGA
rnacentral:rRNA from 2 species